UACGUAGGGGGCAAGCGUUGUCCGGAAUCAUUGGGCGUAAAGAGCGUGUAGGCGGCCCGGUAAGUCCGCUGUGAAAGUCCAGGGCUCAACCCUGGGAUGCCGGUGGAUACUGUCGGGCUCAAGUCCGGAAGAGGAGUGUGGAAUUCCUGGUGUAGCGGUGAAAUGCGCAGAUAUCAGGAGGAACACCAAUGGCGAAGGCAGCACUCUGGGACGUGACUGACGCUGAGACGCGAAAGCGUGGGGAGCAAACAGG
rnacentral:rRNA from 1 species